CAGCUCCUCUGCUCCGUCUUCGUAUAGCCGUAGAUGUCGAGAAGGCCACCUACCAGAAUGCUGCAGCAGCGCUAGGAUAUAUACACGGCUCGUGGCAUGUGCAAAAAGCAAAGAUAUACGAGCGGUGUGCUAGCUAGGCUUCUGCACCGUCCGAUCGGGAUCGCACGCGUGGGGUAUGUCGGCGAGCGGACUGACGUGGAGUGGAUCAGUGGAACACGCGCGCUCCUUUGAAUUGAUAAUCUGUUUAACACCGCAAGCGCCAAAAAUCGUGUCUGCCAGUUGCGACAUUUUGCAAUAGACUCCCUGCUGUUGCUGUACUGCACGACACCAACUUUUGCCCUCAAUUCGAUCGCAUCGGUCGCUGCCAUGCCAUUUGACCAUUGCCAUACAAUCUCUUCUACACCAAGGAUGCAUGCUGACCAAAAAACAGAAAAACAAAAAUCUCAAGGAUGCUACGG
rnacentral:lncRNA from 1 species